AUUGAACGCUGGCGGCAGGCCUAACACAUGCAAGUCGAGCGCGAAAGCACUUCGGUGUGAGUAGAGCGGCGGACGGGUGAGUAAUGCUUGGGAAUCUGCCCAGUAGUGGGGGAUAACGUGUGGAAACGCACGCUAAUACCGCAUACGUCCUACGGGAGAAAGCAGGGGAUCUUCGGACCUUGCGCUAUUGGAUGAGCCCAAGUCGGAUUAGUUAGUUGGUGGGGUAAUGGCUCACCAAGGCGACGAUCCGUAGCUCGUCUGAGAGGAUGAUCAGCCACACUGGGACUGAGACACGGCCCAGACUCCUACGGGAGGCAGCAGUGGGGAAUAUUGCACAAUGGGCGAAAGCCUGAUGCAGCCAUGCCGCGUGUGUGAAGAAGGCUCUAGGGUUGUAAAGCACUUUCAGUAGGGAGGAAAUGUUGUUGAUUAAUACUCAACAAUCUUGACGUUACCUACAGAAGAAGCACCGGCAAACUCCGUGCC
rnacentral:rRNA from 1 species